rnacentral:lncRNA from 1 species
ACAUGGAACCCGACGCAAGAGCAUGGGGACCCGACUUACUAUCGUACCCCCGACACUGCGCCGGACGAUGAUCGACUAAGUGCAUCUACGGAAGUCCGGCUGCCGAACCUUUGCCAGGUUCGGUCGGCUCCCGACUCGACAGAUGGACCCGACUGACAACUUCGACUACCCGAAGCCGACCUAAAGUCGGGACACAUUCUACUUUCAGGGCUAUGCAAGUUGUCGGAGUCCUACCGACUCAUGUGGGUUAGUGGCUUACUUAAGUUAGCGACUAAAGUUCGACAUCGCAGCUAUAGCCGGCAUUACAAAUAACAAGGAGAGAAAGGAAGAAGUUUCAUUCAUUGAUGAAAAGGAAUUACAGAGUCGGGUCGAAGCCCGAUUACAUGUAUUUUCAAAAAGAAACAAAAAGGGAAGACGGUCGGCUG